UCCAUUUUGAAUUCAGGCUGUAAUGCAAAAAAAUGUGGAAGGCGAAUUAAGGGGUAUGAAUACUUAUAGUUCUUUUUUAGUUAUAGUGGCUGCAUUGCCCUCAAGGGGCCUAAUCUGCGGUGGCUCCAUAUCUAUAUCUUUUCAGGGUACAUACAUCUACCUCUGUGCCAAAUUCGGUGCUUUAAUCACAAAGUGUACUAUUUGUGAUGGUAAAACACAGAAAUCAUGUUACAUAGAUUUUUUUUGUUGGUAAUCAUGGUAAAAAAGAAAAUCGGUAACUAGUUGCUUGAUAAAGUUCACGAGUCAAAUCAUUUGUUUUUGAUAAAACACUGUUCUGUUGCAUCCACAGGUCAAGAAGGCUGUCUUGGAGUGACCAUCAUUGGAGAGAUCAUAGUCAAAAAUGCUACGUUUGAUAAAGAAUCGGGAUGCGACCAGGCCGGACUUGACAAGAACUUGAAGGUAUACUACCAUGCAGCUGAAAUAGAUGGGUGACUCGUCUGUGUCUCUCCCUGUGCCUCUGGCCACAACAGGACAAAGCACUGUAACACCAGUACCUGUAGUAUGUCACGGGCCGGACCAGUCUGCGGAUCCACUAUCCACACAGCUGUAACAAGGACUACUGGUACCGAGACUCUGCAUGUUACGGCCCCAUCCUGAAGCGAGACAUCUUUGCUGCGUUACUGACUCUGGCAAGACUGGUGAUAGCAGCCAUGGGGGUCGUGGUGGUCUACAUGCCCUGGCAUAGACGACAAUCCCGCAGAGAAUGACCCUAACCCACAUUAUGGUGGCUGAGUGGGCUUGCAGUACGAGGCAGAGGGAGACUCCUCCAACUUCUCCCUACCAUGGAACACAGGCACAGGUGUCCAGGGAGAGGUUUGAGACCAUCUACCACGACUACAGUUCCUGGGGGCUGAUAGGGACACCAUACAAGACAUAGACACCUGAACCGACCUCCUCUUCAGGGCAACGUUUUGCAUCGAGUGACCCUGGCAGCCAAUCAAAGGUGGGUAGAAGGACAGAAUGCCGCAUUUAAAAUGUAUUAUGUACUGUAUUUCUGUCAAAAUUUGCUAAAAUUUGUCUAAUCGCUUUUGGAAUUUCUGAUGCUCCCAGAAUGUCUAGCUUUCAUUUCAAUGACUGUUAGCAACCUGGACAAAGUGAAGAGACUAUAAAUGUAGGUACAAUAUCAUUUCUACAAACUUUUGAUUUGGUUUUAGUAAUUUCAAUGUCGAUUGACAUCGUUUUUCUGCGACAAAAAAACCCAAACAUUUUCAGAUUGUAUAGGCUCGCGGGCCUUGAGUUUGACAAGUGGUCUACAUUGUCAUUCAACCUGUUAAAAAAAGCUGUAAAAUAUGUAUGUUAUACUGUGGUUGCACUUUAUAAACUGGUGUGUACUUCCAUGGUAAAUUACUACAUAAGGAUAAUAUGGAGGAGCUAAUGUUGACGUUAAAAACCUAUUCCAUACUUAAAUACCUUUUUUUAAUAUUCCCUGACAGUUUAUGAUCAGCAGACCGGAGAUAAAGUCACUUUGAGAUGUAGUGGAUCAUCCUUUAAAUCAGUGUUUCAUCGACCACUGGAAAAAAGACUGAAACAAGAUCAGUAUUGGACAGUCUCCUCUUUGGGAGCGAAGACUGAAUGAAGGUUAUAGGGUACAAUGCAAAAACUGUUUGACCAAUGAUAUGAUGCAACUUAUGCCAGUUUGACAAUUAGC